UUUGAUUGGCUAAAGUAAAUCGACCAUAACUCUUUGCUCCGAUAGUGGAUUUGGGUGAAACCAAUUGCAUUAGAAAGAAGACUCUCAAGGCUUCUUAUCGAUAUAUAGCAGCUCAUACAGUUCAUUUUUUACAAGGAGUUAUGAUCGUUUAAAGUCGACCCAAAAAUCUGUUUGGCUGCAGUACUUUUGUGUGCAGAAAAUUUCUGCACAUUUACUGUUCAUUGCGUCCACCGUUUUCAAGUUUCGAACAUGCUCGCUUAUAUCCGAUACUCAUCUGUUUUCAGAAAUCUUUAUAUCGUUGGAAAGCUAACUCGAUAAACUUCGCAUAGAAACUUC
rnacentral:lncRNA from 1 species